rnacentral:pre_miRNA from 1 species
CGACAAACUUCGGGUGAAUAAAUUUUUGUUGCUAUUAAAUUUCAUUAAUAGCAACGAAAAUUUAUUCACCCGAAGUUUGUCG